CCCUAUGCAGUGGCACACUCAUGAACCUACUCUAUUUCUGUCACCCCGGUGGAAAUGUUCACGGCUCUGUUGUUAUUGAAAGUGAUCCUUUGUAGUUUUCCUCUAUUGGGCGUUCAAUUACAAGAAACCUCAAGUCUCUCAACAAUGCAUUAUACACUUCUGAACGGGGCACUCUGUGGUGCCUAGUUCAUCAAAAAUACUCAGCAUUUCCUGUGCUCUCCUUCACACAUCUGAAACCUCAGCACACGAGCAGUUCUGAGAAUUAACAUCAUAGUGUGACAUUCUUUUCAUGAGGAAUUAACCCCUCUGACACUUAAGCUAAGGGUUUUCCUUAUUGAACUCUAACCCACCACCAAUUUGUAGGAAAAUGAAAGCAAUACUCAACAUGAGCGAAGCACUUGUAAUAAUUUCUAAAGACUGGCUAAUGAGUGUGUUUGUGUGCAUGCCUUUUAAAGUAACAGUUUACCCAAAAAUGACAAUUCUAUCAUCAAUGGCUUACCAUCAUGUCAUUCCAAACCUCAUAUUACUUUUUUAUUAUUCUGAGGAUCAAAAGCAUACAUUUUUUAAGAAUAUACUGUUACGGCCUGAGCCUUAUGUUAAUCUGUGUACUGUUUUGGCUGAUCUGAUUCUCUCUCUCUGAAUAGACUCCGCCUCUGCACACCUGCAGCCUGUUUUGGGCUGGAGAUAUAAUGGGAGAGCGGAAGGAGAAUCGGGGGGUUGUUGAUCACCUACGAUUUGUUCCCAUAGCGGAGUGAUCGUUUUUCGAUCACUGUUUAGCCCUGUCGAGAGCUUGGCGUGCACUGGAGGAGAAGGGCAUGAGUGGACGAACGAGAGAACGAACGAUUGAGAGCCCUGUGUGAUCCAGUGACAAAUGCUGCAGGAAGCUUUCCAUCACGAGUGCUGGUCGGUGAUCAGGUUACUCCAGGAGUGGUGGCUGGUGAGAUUUCAUCCGGGUAUCAGUCACUCACCCUGCCAUGAGGAAUAUGUUAAAGAGGUUGCCUGCCAGUUGACAGCCUGACCUUCAGUGGAUUGGACUGAAUUUGGACAGCGAUGAGGCAGAGAUCAUGAACCACUUACCUGAGAACACUGACCCACUGAACAUCAUGAGUCACACUGCCAUUGACAGCACUCACAACUGUGGCAGUGAUGUCACCUACAAAGCUGAAUGGGUCAGAAGCAACUGAAUGUGUAAUAUACUUCUCUUAAAUGGAGAUUUGGUGCUUGUAAUCCAUAUCUAUUAGCUUUGAGGCCAUCUCAUGUUAGUGUUCUUAAAGUGGACCAUAUUAACUUUGAGAAGAUUUAUACAUUUAUAAUUAACCAUCUUUAGUCUCAUCUUGGAAAAUUGGCCAAAUCUUGUACAAUCUUGCACUCACCCAUUUUUUUUCAAUAAAGAAUGAGAAUGUCCCUUCCUCAACCUACUUCUGACGGGCAAGUCUUUGACCUUGUGGCCAAUGCAACUACCCCAACAUAAAAAUGUGUGGUGCAAGAAAGAAUCACGUUUCCUUCUCUGUCCCCUUUGUUUGCUAUCUUUCUCAACUAGUGUUCAUCAAUUAAAUGUGUCAAAAUGUCCAAACAUAAAAACAGUAGCUACAGUAGUCAUAUUCAUGGCUAUGACGUAAAUUAAACUAAUAAUUUGUUAUUUUUUUAAAUAACAAAGUAUUUAAAAAAUAAUAAUUUUUUCAGUAGGAAAUACCUCAACACAGGAAUGAAAACUGCUUGUCAAGCAAAUUGAUUAUGUCUUUAAUAAAACUAAGAGCUUAAGCACAGUAUGCACAGUUUAAUCCCAGAUUGACCCCAGUGGGCCGUUAUACUAACAUAUGCAUAUUAAUCUGUGACCACAUUUGAAAUCUAUGAUAACAAGGAUGAUAAUGCCCUUAUGUUUUGAUUAUUAGGAGAAUGUUCAUAUAUAACAAGAUGGCUUAAGUGCAAUAAAGGCUGUUCCUCUUUGUGCAAUGCGUUUUCUAGUGCAGCCUCAAAAAAGCACUGUUUAAUGGAAUUGCUUCAGGUCUGCUGUUGGGGAUAGAGAUGCCUUCGUUUAGAUUAAUAUGACAGGAGAUGGGGUUAUAGGAGGGCACAGCCAAUCUGGCUAGACUGUUUCGUCAGUGGAUUCUCUCAUAAUCCUAUUUCUCUGACUGCCACCUUCACCAUGUGACUGCUUUUGUAACAGAAACCAUGAAUCUCCUGCCAAAAGACAGCUAAGGGCUUCAUGAAUUGUAAACUAAAUAAAAAUUAAAUAUGAAUGAUGAAAUAAAUGCUGAUGCAGGAA